UCAGAACAGACGCUGCUUCCCAGA
rnacentral:miRNA from 8 species